rnacentral:rRNA from 1 species
GAUAUGAACUCUCCGAAAAAAUUACGCUGUUAUCCCUAAGGUAAGUUAAUCUUAUAAUCAAAAAUUCUGGAUCAAAAAAACAUAAAUUAAUGAAUAAAAUAUUAAAAGUUAAAUAAAUUUUAAUGUCACCCCAACAAAACUUUAUAUUCUAAAAAAUUGUUUAAUAAACAAAAAACAAUAAUUAAUAAAUAAAGUAAACUUCUAUAGGGUCUUCUCGUCCUAUAAAAAAAUUUUAGCUUUUUAACUAAAAAAUUAAAUUCAAAAUAAUUAAAAAAAGAAAGUUUAUUUUUCAUCAAACCAUUCAUACUAGCCUUCAAUUAAAAGACAAAUGAUUAUGCUACCUUCGUACAGUUAAAAUACCGCAGCCUUUUAAUUCAUAAAAAUCAAUGGGCAGGUCUGAUCUUAAAUUAAAAUCAAAAGACC